CGGCCGCGGCUGCACUCCCAAGAUGGCGGCUCCUCCGGGCGAGUACUUCAGCGUUGGGAGCCAGGUGUCGUGCCGGACGUGCCAGGAGCAGCGGCUGCAGGGCGAGGUGGUAGCCUUUGACUACCAAUCCAAAAUGCUGGCUUUAAAAUGUCCCUCUUCCAGUGGAAAGCCCAACCAUGCAGACAUCUUGCUCAUAAACUUACAGUAUGUUUCAGAAGUGGAAAUAAUUAAUGACCGAACAGAAACCCCUCCUCCCCUAGCUUCACUCAAUGUUAGUAAGCUUGCCAGCAAAUCACGGACAGAGAAGGAGGAGAAGCUGAGCCAGGCCUAUGCAAUCAGUGCUGGUGUCUCUCUAGAGGGCCAGCAGCUCUUCCAGACCAUUCACAAGACCAUUAAAGACCGUAAAUGGCAAGAAAAAAACAUCGUAGUCAUGGAAGAAGUUGUUAUUACACCCCCAUAUCAAGUGGAAAACUGUAAAGGCAAAGAGGGGAGUGCACUGAGCCAUGUACGCAAAAUAGUUGAAAAACAUUUUAGAGACGUGGAAAGCCAAAAGAUACUGCAACGUUCACAAGCCCAGCAACCACAGAAGGAGGCUGCCCUGUCAUCCUGAGUCCGUACACAUGGAGGACUCUUCCAGCAUCCAGCCAAGGAGGCGCUGGUGGUGGCUUCAGCGGAGGCAGGCCGGGGGAGGGAAGGGAUCCUAUAUGUCCUGUUGGCUCUUAACAAAGGGUCAGCAUUUCCAAAUCUUAGACUUGAACAAACAAAACACCCAACAAAAAAGAACAAGAGAAUAAUUUAAAAGUUGAAUCAUGACUUGACUAACAGACUUCGGUCCACCAUGUCCUUUUCACAGCCCUCUUCUGGAACAGUCACCUUGUUAAUUUUAUUUUUGAAAAUUCUUUUCCCACUCUGCCCUUUUACUUCUGACUUUCCUUUCCUAGUCUGUUCCUGCCAUUCUGUUUUUAUAAGUGGCUACACUUGCCUUCUGAAUGAUUGAAAGAAACUUUUACAUCUUUUCUUCCAAAAUAAAAGUAACAAGCUGA